UACGAGGGGGGCAAGCGUUGCUCGGAAUUAUUGGGCGUAAAGGGUGCGUAGGCGGUUUUGUAAGUCUUGUGUGAAAACUCGAGGCUCAACCUCGAGACGUCGGCAGAAACCCUCUGGCUAGAGUCCGGAAGAGGAGAGUGGAAUUCCUGGUGUAGCGGUGAAAUGCGCAGAUAUCAGGAAGAACACCCGUGGCGAAGGCGGCUCUCUGGGACGGUACUGACGCUGAGACGCGAAAGCGUGGGGAGCGAACAGG
rnacentral:rRNA from 1 species